CUCGGAGCUGUCCUCGGACUCAGAAAUAUGCAUUUCAUUUUUAUGGCAACACUAUCAACACCUAAACAGAGCCUGCGGUGGUCACGUGGUACAGCGUGGCUCUCAGAAAACUCGCAGUUAACAAGUUGUAAUUACAAGUUCUACGAGGACACGAACGCUUUUUACAAGUUGGAAUCUCGUAAUUACGGGAAUUCCAAUAUGGUGUGAACGCACCCUGCUGGGUAUGUUGCGCCCUGAUUGGUUGUAUAUAUACCCGCCCAGUCCGCUGAAUGUGUUCGAGUCAUAAAAGAGCUCUGCUUCCUAUUUUGCCUACAACAUCAGUGUGAGUGGCACGGCUACAGUAGUCUGCGCGUUUGUGACAGCAGCAGUGAUCCAUCCGAUGGCCGGUGUUAAGAUAAAAUUGUUAGCAUUUGUUUUUAUUCUUGCGAGCUCUGCUGCAUCUAACAAAUGCCCAGCAAAUCAGGAAACGUUCUGCGACAGCCUGCGCUCGUCCCUUGGAUACACAUACAUGGUCCCAGCGGACAUCCCAUGCUUUGAAAAGUGCGAACAAGGGUGGUACUAUCAGAACGGGACGUUUAUUGUCGACUCAACUCCGAAUGCCGGUGGAAAGAGGUUACCAACAGUAGUGGAUGUAACCCCUCGGAAGCUGUUAUUGAGUGUCUGCGAGAACCUACAGUGGCAACUUGUCUGUGACAAGUGUAACUGCAUUAUCAAUUAUCUAGUUACAGAUUUGAAACAUUUAGCAGCACGUGACACCUUGACAAGAAAUAAUACAUCAGGAGACGAACAAGAUGGCAACCGUGAAGGCAACGCAGAUUUACCUGACUGGGUGAUUGCUUUAAUUGUGAUUGUGGUUGUUGGUGCAAGUAUCGCCAUUUUAAUUAUUGGAAUAAGGACAAAAGGCUUCUGUAAACCAAAACAAAAUGCUGUGCUAUAGUGGCAAGGCUUUGACUUUGUGCCUUCGAGCAAAUCACCUCAGGUUGCUCCAGAGGGACUGUGUCUGCAAUACCAGUUAUAUAAACCACUCUAAAUGACCACAAUAAUCACUAUUGUACUUUCUAUAUUUCCUCCAUUUUUUUUUCUUGUAUGAUUUUCACAAAUAUAACAUUCUGUUGUUUUAUUAGCUUUGUGUAUUGCAGAGCUUUGUGUGUGUCUUUUAAUCUAAAUGUAACCUUAACUCUGUCUUGUGCUACAUCACAUGCAGGACUAUGGAGGGCACUGACACUAUAUUGAAAAAUUAUUUUAUCAUAAACCAUAUCUUAUCAAAUUAUCUUAGAUCAUUAUCUAAAAAAAAAAGUAUCAAUGAUAAAUGAACUCCUUUAUAUAGCUUUGAAUAUAUAUGAAUAUAUAUUGAAUGUAUAUAUAUAUCAUAAAUAGCCUAUAUAUAUAUAUAUAUAUAUAUAUAUAUAUAUAUAUAUAUAUAUAUAUAUAAAUAAAUAUACAUACACUAACAUGUACCCCCAACAUUCAGAGUUUUUCCUUAAAGGUAUUAGUAGAUUAAUUUCCUAUUCAGAUGGUGAUAAUACUAAAUUUCAUAGAGAUCUCACUAGUGGUAUUAGUGAGAAAACUGAAAUCCUUUAAAUUUGUAUCACAUGUUGCAUUACAUCUCCAGAGUGCGUAUGUUUGAAUAUUUAUUUAUCAAAGUACAUUUUCAGGAUUGAAUUUUGCAAAUUUGAUCAUAAAUCUCAAGUUCUGGUUAUUAUCAAGCACUCAUUUAUACAGAUCUCAAGGGGGCAUGUAUGUAUUUAUUAAAAAAAAUGUUACUAUAUUGCAUAACUUUUUAUAAAGCUCAUAAAAUUGUAUAUAUAAAUGUAGCUGGCACACAGAUCCAAAUUUACUUUGGAUAAUAUUUAUACUGUCAACACCUUCACUGCCUAAAAUCACAUUCACACUGACAUCAUUUAAAUAGCUGAAGAUUGUCUCUUUUCUUGUAGGUGAUUGUAAUUUAUUGUUGUAUCCUGUAUCAUAACAUUGGUAGUCCGCUUUACUGUUCAUUUGCAUAGAGUUUUCACCAGAAAAUGCAAUCCCAAUGAAAAUGAAUAAUGUCUGUUUUAUCAGUGAGAACCCUUAAUUAAGUCUAAGACUUUGUGGGGGCAAAGUAACUGUACAACUAGGGCAAGUAUUUAAGUUGCCGCUGUGGAAGCAAAAUGCAAUGAAAUGCUGUGCCAGCGAGUACACACAUCUAAUGCAUUACUAGAUUAAGUAAUCCAAAGAAAACAGUUAUCAAAAGGGCACCUAAACUUAGCAAAGUACACUGGGACCAUACACGCAAAGGUAUAUCUUUUUAUACCUUUAUACAUUGUCUGCUUCUAAAAAAAAUGCAUUAGUACCUUAAGGGAUAGAUAGUACAAUUGUACCAUUUUUUCUGACAGCAAACUGUCUUACAUAAAAAUACUUUGACAGUAUAGACAGAAUUAAUCAAAUUGGUUUUGUUGCUGUGUGCCAAGCUAUUUAUGAUAAAGCAAUUAUUAUAUUGGGUACUGAUUUGUCUAUACUGACUGUCAUACCUUAAAAUAUGAAAGGAUGUUGUUACACUUUGUCAUAAUAUGUGUAAUAAUAUGAUAUUGAUCAAUAAUAAUAAAGUAAGUGUCAGCUGCCAUUGUAUUCUGAGAUUAAAUGAUCACUUCUUAUGCAACAUUUAUUAUAUUUUUCUCAGUAUUUGUGUAAGAAUUAUAUGUAUUUUGUUAUAUUGUACAACCUUUUCAAUCUUUUUUAUUUUUUUUGGACUUUGCUGUCUAGAUAUCUUGUUGGGGUCUCAAUAAAAUUUU
ensembl:lncRNA